UACAGAGGGUGCGAGCGUUAAUCGGAAUUACUGGGCGUAAAGCGUGCGUAGACGGUUAUUUAAGUCGGGUGUGAAAGCCCCGGGCUCAACCUGGGAAUUGCAGUCGAGACUGUCAGACUAGAGUGUGGGAGAGGGUGGUGGAAUUCCCGGUGUAGCGGUGAAAUGCGUAGAUAUCAGGAGGAACACCGAUGGCGAAGGCAGCUCGCUGGGACGGUACUGACGCUGAGGCGCGAAAGCGUGGGGAGCAAACAGG
rnacentral:rRNA from 1 species